UCUGAAGUCUCACCGUGUGUCCCCUACUCUGCUCCCGAUCAGUGAUCCUGACUGAUGUCAUGCUGUUCUGGCUCUAUUUCUUCAUCCCUCUCUCCAUUAAACAUAUCCAGUUCCUUAAUUCCUCAUCAAUCCUAUUUACUUCCUUGUACAUCACAGGUGUUCUGGUGCCACAUUCGACCUUCAACCUGUCUGAACCUGGCAUCUGGCUCCUCCCCAGGAAAUAGCUAAGCAUUGUUCCUUGUUGCCCCUUGGUGAGGAAGGGAGAGGGUCGCUGGAAAAGGUGAUAGAAGACAAAUGGCUCCAGGAGGUGAAGUUAACUCCCAGAAAGAAAGGUCGGGGAGUGGGAAGCAGAGGGAGGAGAUGGAGAUGUGAUGGCUGGAGCUGCAGAAACCACCCGUGACCAGGAGGUAAUCUUGAAGAUGGAAACUAUAAAUUAAGGAGGUUGGCAGCUGGAAGAAUAAGGUGGGGACAUCGAUGAUAUUUUGAUGCUACUAUACCAGCUCUGGACUACCAACUUCCCAACUUUACGUUAUUUGAGAGAAAGUUGGUCAAUAUCCCCCAAGAAUUGUGGUACCUACCACGGAACCCAGUACUUCAGUGUGGUCUAGCCACAGCCCACGGAGGACCAGGGCUGCCUAUGAUCUCCACCUCACUUCCCUGCUUGCAGUCAAAGAUUGGGUGGGUUUUUUUUCAACAGACACAUCAUAGUGUUGGAAAAUAUUCAACCUGUAAUUAAUUAAGGUCCCCAGUUCUUCCAUAUGAACAAACAUUGUCCAGGUAACUCAUCCAUCCUGAACAGCUGGUUUUCUUUUUUUACCCUAAAUUUAGAAUUCUGCAAUUAUCUCUGAUACAUUUCAUUUUAUUGAGUUAGACAAGACACUCCAGAGUGUCUAGACAAUUUUGAAUUUUGUUUUAGUUCUGUAGCUAUAUUUUCCAGCUUUGUGUCAUUGUAGGUUUAGUAAAAAUGCCAUUUAAUUCGUUGCUGCAUUGCCAAAAUGAAGCAAACUUUUCUGACAUUAUUGAAAGUGUAGGCUUGGAUACACAAUGCAGAAUGACUUCUAAAUUAGUUUGAGCAAUUUAUAGACAGCUUUUUGAAAUUCUCUCCAACGCACCUGAAGAAGACAUAAGGCACACAAAGAAGCAAAAGAGGCCUCUUUAAUGUGGGAAGUGAGCAGGGGGAGAAAAAAAACAACACAGAAGAAAAUGGAGGUCCUACCUGCACCUUCCUCCCUAGUCUCCUGUCCCUGGUCCCAGGAUUGGACCCUCUUGUACUCUGAUCCAGAUAUCACCCCUUGGGGCUGGAUGAGGCUGAUGAUAUGUUUGUAACGCCUCCUAGACCAGCGG